rnacentral:tRNA from 1 species
GAUUUAGCUCAGCCUGGUAGAGCGCUUGCUUUGGGAGCAAGAUGUCGUAGGUUCGAAUCCUAUAGUC